GCAAAAGGAAAAAUCUCACCCUAGACCUGAAAUUGCUUUACUUGCUAGAACGGAAGAAUAAUGCGCAGCUACAUUUGCUAUACACAGAUUACAAAACUAAGGAACUACUUUUACAAGCAACCAAGAUGUUUCCCAUGUGACUGGCUUGCCCAAAAGGAGGAUGUCCGAAAAAGAGUGUGUGCCAGGCCCUUUCUCCCUCAAUCUCAAUCAAAAUCAUCUCGUGUCUACAGGUGUUGUGGCUAGAAGCUUCAGAUGAAAACGAACUCUGGAAAAAUGAAGCAACAUCAUUUUGCAAGAUUUUGGGAAACCUGGAUAUUUUCCUACCCAGCAGUAAUGUCAUGAGUCACAUUUUUAUGAAGAAUGUUAGGGUUUUUAGAUGGAAC
rnacentral:lncRNA from 1 species